UCUGGUUGGCCCUUGAGAACAUUUUAGCUGGGGUUCUGGAAUGGAAUGUGGCACAGAAAGGCCAAACCAGACCAGUAAAUUCUUUGAAAGGGUGAAAAGCAAGGGUUGUGGAUUUCUGGAAGAUGGAUGCUGUUGGAUUUCCGGAAGAUGGAUGCUGUUGACUCUCAGGGCAAUCCUUUGUCACUCAGGAUUCUGGAUACCUUUUGAAAGAUUCCAGGAGAACCUUCGUUUCUCAAUGUCCCUGCUACUGAUAGUCACCUGACCUGCCGGGCUGCCUCUGCUGCUUGUCUCAUUCACAGAUGGAGAAGAGUUCCUGCUACUCUUGAUGACGCCUUUUGGGAGUCCUCCAUUUGACCUCCCUGAGUGAGAACUGAUGAGGACACUGCUGUUGAUGAAGCUGCUGAUUCAAGAGUCUUCAAAGGCCACUGUCUCACCUCAGGUAGGCUUAAGGUUAAUGUUCAGCCUCCAUGAAAACAGCUGAGGCCAGGAUGACAGGGAUGGUGUGGAGAGAGGAAACUCCAAAAAGGGGUGUGGGUGAAGCAGCCAUUCUGAGCCUUCCCAAAGAGGAAAACAUUGUCAAGCAACUCUCCUGUCUGCAGAAUAUAUUGAAAGUUCUAAAAUAUAUAAACAUAAAAAUGGAUGAUGAAACAAGGGACUGGCCAAAUUCCCAAAGGAUAAGGCAAAUACAUUCCGAGGACUCAUCCUAAU